GGAAUAAGAGCUGGGCAAGACCGGUGCCAGCCGCCGCGGUAAUACCGGCAGCUCAAGUGAUGACCGAUGUUAUUGGGCCUAAAGCGUCCGUAGCCGGCCACGAAGGUUCAUCGGGAAAUCCGCCAGCUCAACUGGCGGGCGUCCGGUGAAAACCACGUGGCUUGGGACCGGAAGGCUCGAGGGGUACGUCCGGGGUAGGAGUGAAAUCCCGUAAUCCUGGACGGACCACCGAUGGCGAAAGCACCUCGAGAAGACGGAUCCGACGGUGAGGGACGAAAGCUAGGGUCUCGAACCGGAUUAGAUACCCGGGUAGUCCUAGCUGUAAACGAUGCUCGCUAGGUGUGACACAGGCUACGAGCCUGUGUUGUGCCGUAGGGAAGCCGAGAAGCGAGCCGCCUGGGAAGUACGUCCGCAAGGAUGAAACUUAAAGGAAUUGGCGGGGGAGCACUACAACCGGAGGAGCCUGCGGUUUAAUUGGACUCAACGCCGGACAUCUCACCAGCUCCGACUAUAGUGAUGACGAUCAGGUUGAUGACCUUAUCACGACGCUAUAGAGAGGAGGUGCAUGGCCGCCGUCAGCUCGUACCGUGAGGCGUCCUGUUAAGUCAGGCAACGAGCGAGACCCGCACUUCUAAUUGCCAGCAGCAGUUUCGACUGGCUGGGUACAUUAGAAGGACUGCCGCUGCUAAAGCGGAGGAAGGAACGGGCAACGGUAGGUCAGUAUGCCCCGAAUGAGCUGGGCUACACGCGGGCUACAAUGGUCGAGACAAUGGGUUGCUAUCUCGAAAGAGAACGCUAAUCUCCUAAACUCGAUCGUAGUUCGGAUUGAGGGCUGAAACUCGCCCUCAUGAAGCUGGAUUCGGUAGU
rnacentral:rRNA from 1 species